rnacentral:rRNA from 1 species
UACGUAGGGGGCUAGCGUUGUCCGGAAUCAUUGGGCGUAAGGCGCGUGUAGGCGGUUCGGUAAGUCCGCUGUGAAAGUCGGGGGCUCAACCCUCGGAAGCCGGUGGAUACUGUCGGGCUAGAGUACGGAAGAGGCGAGUGGAAUUCCUGGUGUAGCGGUGAAAUGCGCAGAUAUCAGGAGGAACACCAAUUGCGAAGGCGGCUAUCUGGACGGUUUCUGACACUAAGACACGAAAGCGUGGGGAGCAAACAGG